UCUUUGAACAAUGAUGACCAUGAUUGAUCUGACCAAGACCAUGGAGUCUGCAUUCAAUCCAACACUGACGUUCAAAGA
ensembl:snoRNA small nucleolar RNA, C/D box 69